AAUUUUUGCAUUCGAUGCACGCUAGUCGUCCGGUUCUCGCCUUCCGUUGCCGAUAUAUGCGAGUGCUGCAGAAACGGAAGUCGCGUCAUAUUUUCAGUGAACGCAUACGCCCGUGAUACACGCCUGUUGAUCCAUAACGGUGGUGGAAAGUCGAAACCGGAGAGCGGUAAGCUUGAACGGAAACCGUCGCUUCGUCGAAAGUUCGGCGCGCUGAUAAGAGGGAGCGCCGAUUUACCGGCUGCGAUAAAUCGCGGACUGGCGCCGAUUCGGCGGAGCUUCAGCUUUAGCAAGGAGUUGAACCACCUCCACGAGUCACCCUCUCCUUACAGGACUCGUGGGGCGCACUGGUACAACAGCCUCGUUUCCCUCACCGAGGAUCAGAUAAUCGACGAUCGGAAGCAGAGCGAAGAGGAGGAGGAGGAGGAUAUAGAGGAGGAUCAAGACGCCGUAGAUCAUCGGGCGUCGUUCGCGCAGCCAAUCGCCUCGAAUUCUCCCGAAUAUCCUCAUUUCGAGGACGAAUUUGGCGGGAGAAUUCUUGCCAGGGCUCAAAGUCUCAUUGAAAAACAUCCUGCGACUUUCGGCCCCAGAAAAAGGACAUCGACCCGCAAGGAACAGACCCUUCCACCCUUCGGACGUCAUAGCGACUACUAUGACUCGAGAAUAGACCUCACUCGGCCCCCUUUCGAGGCCUCAAGUCUGCCGGCUCUUACAGCCCCCGAAAACCUCGAGGAGGAUGAAUCGUCGACAACGAAUGUUCGAAGAAGAGAACCGCAGAUCGAGGACGGAUGGGGACACUUGAGGAGCGGCGUUCGUUACAGUUCCAACGCCUCCUUCCUGCAUCCUGGUCCUAAAAGUUCGCGGAGUCCUGCGAGCUACUCGGUGCGAUCGCGUUCCUUGACCCAGCUCGACGCCCUGGGUACCAGCAUGCUGGACGCCGGUGAACAUCGGCUGGGCGGCAGCCCCACGACGACUUCGCAACACCAACAAUCUCAUCAGCAUCCCCACAGCACCGGGGACUGUAGCCCACGUCUCCUGGUGCCAAACGCUUCCCUCGGCGAGCCGGUCAGCACGAACAAGACAAGACACAAGCUCUCCAGGUCGCAGGUAUCGAGCAGCGAGUACUUCAGCGUGUGCUUUGAGGCCGGAGACGAAACGACGUUGGAUCGAGAGGAAUUCCUGCCCGCCACGAAGGGAACAACUUUGGCGGAGGCUCUGAGCGGGGCCUGUGAACGUCGAGGCAUUGACUUGGGGCGCGUCGACGUUUUCUUGGACUCCCUCAACACUCCUCUGCCAGUUCUUACCACCGAGAGUUCCUGCAUGGGUGGAAGGCAUCUUCGCAUCACCGCCAGAGACGAUAGAACGAGCACGAGACCGGCGACUCAAAAGAGCAAUCAGAACGUGUCAUUACGCAAGGCGAGUGGGCAGAGCUGCCGGGGCCGCAGCAGCCGAUUCUUCAGCGUGUCUACGGAGGACUCGAGCGUUGACUCGGAGAAUCCAGCCGUCGUCGGUUCCACACCCAGCGGAAAAUCGUCCUCGGGGGCGGCGGGUCUCAAGGCCAGCAAGCAGCGGUGGAGUGGCUUCUUCACGAACACGAAGGGCACCAAGAUGGAGUCGCUCGUUGAACAACUCAACGAGUACACCAAGCACGGGGUGCCACGACUCACCGACAUUCAGCUACCCUACGUCGGCGAACGCGACGCUGACGAAGAGGGUCUUUACGCCCUGGAGGAGGAUUGGCGCGACAUAGUGGAGGCCUCGGACCGACUGUCAGAAAAGCAACAGCAGCAGCAAACCGCACUUUGGGAGUUGGCGCAGACAGAGGUCGCCUACAUCAGGACGCUGAAGGUGGUGACCGACCUCUUCAUGGCCUGCCUAUGCAGCCUACAGGCCUGCGGUAUCCUGAUGGAAGUCGACAGGACGAAGCUGUUUGGUAACAUUCCAGAUAUCUAUGCCGCGAACCGAUUUUUCUGGUGCGAACAUCUUCUGGCCAUGGUCAACGCGGCCAGAGUUACAAGGCUGCCUCUCGACCCCGGCGACCUUCUUCACGGCUUUGAGACCUUUGAACAGACCUUUGCACCCUACUCGAGAUACUGCGCCGAGCAGAGCAGGUGCCAACAGUACUGCAGGGACCGUUUGAACGACAACGAAUUAUUUACGGCAUAUCUCGUGUGGUGCGAAACGCAAAAAGACUGCAAUCGAUUGAGGUUGCUGGACAUUCUAGUGAAGCCAAUGCAAAGGCUGACCAAAUAUUCUCUAUUGCUGAAGGCCGUCCACAAGAAUACAGAGCACGAGGAACAGCGGUCUGAACUUACGAUGAUGAUUAAAUCCGUAGACAAAUUCGUUGCUUCGGUAAACGCUGCUCUCAGACGAAGCGAGGAGACCGCUCGUCUGGCUAGCGCCGCUGCUCGUCUUGAAACUUACGAAGUCGUUGAGUCUCGAGACGAGGAGCUUGACAGAUUAGUCAAAGCUCACAGCAACCUCGACAUCAUGACUACGCCGAUGCCUGGGUGCCCGAAGGAUGCACCGAGGACCCUUCUCAGAGAAGGGGAAUUCAAAUUACGGGACGGUGCCACGAGCAAGAUGGAGGUGCGAGUCCUUUUGCUUACUGACAUGCUGCUUGUAUGCAAACCCUCAACGAAAAAGACCUCGUCAAGCAGCGGGUCUGGAGGAGGCGCGGCUGGUGGUCUCAGGAUAGUCCGCCAGCCCUACGUCGUAGACCGCAUCCGUGUAAACGAGCUCAAGGAACCAUCCAGUCUGGGUCUGGUUUACCUUAACGACUACGGCGCAGCAUGUGCCGCACUUAUACUCAGCGCUGGGGAGCCGAAAUUGGCCAAGUCCUGGGUCGAAUCUCUUCGCAAGGCGCAACAGCAGUUUGCGCGAAUGAAAUUGCCUCCCGUGGUUGGUGCGGCAACAGUGCCGAUCCUCCCUGUCAGCAGGCAAGCCAGCACCUACCUCGGAGACGGGGACUUUGACGUGGAAGAUGCUGAAGGUGUGUUGGGUCGGACGCCUCGCGGAAGCAGCCGAGCCUCACGGGUCAGCAGUCUGGCCCACAGCCACAGCGGAAGCAUGGAGAUGGAGGGCGUUUCUCCCGGCAGCAACAGCUUCGUCGCCAGCUACAAUCCCAGCAGGAAUGUCAGCGUCGAGACGAACGAACCUCCCCGUGCCUCCAGUGUGUCCUCGGAAGAGGGCGGCAGUGAACUUGCAGCUGCCGGGCACAAUCUCAGGCCUCUGCAAGUCAGGCGCUCGCUCCUCUGCAAAUCUCCGACGCCAAACACCCUCAGCGUCCAAGUACCGGCGUACUCGGGUCUAGGUCAGUCUUUGCCGAAUCUGACCCUUGCAACGUCACCACAAACGUCAACCGUCUCGCCAACACCGCCUAACUCUCUCCUGAUCGUUCCUCAGAUCACCAAGAGCAAGGAUACUCUCCUGUCUCCUGGACACAGAGGAAUAUCGUACCCGCCUCCUUCACCACCGCGGGGCGCCCUGCGUAGGGCGUUCGCGGUACCGCAAUCCCGGAACCCACCCUUGAUUAAGACUCGGCAUGUGAACGCCUCGGUCGUCGCCCAACCGGUGCAAACAACCGUGAGUCUUGACGCCGAUGCCGCCGAGGAGAGACGGCGGAGACUCGAACCAUCUCAGAGAAUUACAUCAGCGAGCAGCAUCACCGAGGAAAAGAAAUGACCGGCAUAAGGUGAAUGAUUAAUUGUGAACAUUGAUCACCGCGAAGUGAUCCUUGGAGGGGCAAACCGUUGUCGUCCGGGUUUACGACGCCCGGGCUUAGCGGCGGACGGAUACCUGAGGAUCCCGGCUCGUCGAUGUUUCUGCACUGAAGUUGAAGAUCGAAAGAUUGAAAUGUUUUUCACGCAUCCGCUAGUGUGCGAGUGCUGCACACAUUCGCACACGGCGAAGGCGUUUCGACUUAAUAAUCAACUGUUCAAAUUCUCUCACUGUAUUACCAAGCCUAAGAAUUAACGCAUCAAGCAAUUCCGAAAUCGAUUGGGGCCAUUCGAAAACAACGUGAAAUUUAUAAUAAUAAAUUAUAGAAAUUAUAUAAUAAAAUAAUAUACAACAUAUUAUAUAUAUAUUAUAUAACAUAAUUAUAAAUUUAGUGUAAUAAUAUAUCACAUAAAUCUUCUAAUUAGCAUAUUGUACUGUAGAAGAAACGUAGUUUUAUAACGUUGCAUCGGUUGAAAAAAAAACCAAACUUGACUCAUGCAAUUAAGCUGUAUCUUAAGCAAAAUCAAAAAGGCCUACGUAGUGUUAUUAAAACUAAAUAAAUAGUCAUUAGUAUAUAGAUACUAUAUAUUGCCUAUAGCGGAAGUGUGAUCACUAGAGAAAGAGAGACAGAUAUUUACAACUGUUAGCUAUUUAUUAUUCAGCGGGCAAUCGCCGCACGACACCUUCAAUCAUUCCAUGCAACGUCUUAACACACGCUAUCCAGUGAGUUUCGUGAGAAAUUUUUCUCUCCCUAUAUCGAAUAAAGUAAUGGAGAACAAAUGUUUCGCAUUACUUAAACUCAUCCCGAUCAUCCGAGUCAUUUUCAAUCUUUUCCAGAAGUAUUUUCAUCGGUAUUAACCGUCAUAAGCAAAAUGAUAUUUACUCGAAAUAGUAAUCUGCGAUCUAUUUAGUUUAUAUUUAGAACGAGAAUUGGUCGCAACGAAAUACCCGUUAUUCGCAUGUGAGGACGAUGUAAAAUUGAACCGGCUUAAAUAACUCUGUCCAAAUAAUAUUAUUAUACUUUAAGUACAAAUCCGACGGUAUAUAUAAUUGAAGAUUAAAUAUGUACUGUCCACUUAUAUGGGGAAAAAAGACGACGUGGUAUAGUUGUGAUGAUUUAUAAAUUAUUAUUAUAAAUACCCAAAUAAUGUAGUUAACUUAUUAUUUCUAUAAAUUAUAAGUAUAAUCGUUUAAGGAUACGUAUCAUAACUAGAGACAACAUUCCAAAAUAGGGAGGGGACCUCGUUUCCAAUGGUUAACAAUGGUAUUGUAAAUAAUCUAUUCUAUCUCAUUUACAACCAUUAAUUGUACUGCGACAUUCGCACUUGGUUUAUAGUCAUCUUAAUGCAGUACGUAUUGUCUAUCAUUACACAUACAUAUAAUAUAUCAGCUAUUAUUAAGGCUGCCACGGAGGAGCCGAUUGUAAAAGCCAGCUGCGUUUCUGUGUAACGAGACAAGAAUAUAUCAAAUAAUUUAUUA
rnacentral:misc_RNA from 1 species